AUUGAAGGAGGGAAAAGCUGUGAAUUUAUUUGUCUUUCUAUUUUUUUUUACAUCACAAAAACCUGACAUUUGAAGAGGGGUGUGUAGACUUUUGGGAGCCACUGUACAUGUAGAAAUGAUGUGUUCAUAUCUCUAACCCUCUUGGUUUAGCAUGAUAAUGAAAAGAACUGUGAGCAAAAAUGUGGCAAGCAGAAAACCAGAGUGGCUAGUGACUUGGGAAAACCCAACUGUGGCCGGAGAGCAAAACAUUAAUGUCAAACCCUUGUCUGUACCCAGACAUGGGUUCCUACCAGGUGUACGGGUACCCAAACACAACCACAUCGUAUGCAAAGCGCAAGUCUGAAUUAAAUUUUCUACACACAUGUACCUAAAAAGUGUACCACAGUCACCGUGUAGUUUGAAUACUUUUACUUGAAGGAGAGGAUUGUGCACACAGGUGCAGUACGAAGGUCAACUGUAGUUUUCAGAGUGAGGAGUCUGCACACUUAGAAUCGUUUUUGUUGCGUUUUAUUUUUUCAUGGCAGGAUAACGUACCUCAACAGUCUUCUUCAGAUUCUCUACAAACACAGUCUGAGUGGUGAUUAGAACAUGCCUGGCAUCCAAGGGUGUGGCCAGUUUGUUAACCCUUUACACUCUACACUUUACAAUUAGAAUUAUUGUACACUGUCUGGACAAGAUGUAGAAUACUACUGAGCGACAGUGAUAUGUCAUGUUCUUAAUACUGUUAUAUCCUGUCAUUACAGACAAGGCGGCCGGAAACUUUGAUGACCUCAAUGACACUGGCUAGGUGAAGGACAUCAACAAAAUGGCAUCAGGUCACCAGACAUCAGCUCAUAAUCCACAACGUCAUCAACCAUUUUGCGCCAAAAAUGAAGCCGUUCACAUACCAUGGCAUCCUAAGCAGGCAGCACUACACUACUGUGCAACAGUGAGAGAGAGCGGGCAAGGACAAGUAAAGCGGACCUACACUACAGCAAGACUUUGACACUUCUCCACGUUAGAGGCAGCCAUCACCCCCACCGUUGAGCAGCGGCUAUGUGUAACCCCCAAAAGAGGAGAUGAUCCGACGAUGUGUGUGUGGUGUGUGUGUGUGUGUGUGUGUGUGUGAUGUAUGAUAUUGUAACACUUCAGUCCUUCUUUUAUACUAUACAGUGUAUACAUAUACAUUUGUGGGUUUGUUCAAAAUCCAUUGCUGAGGUUAAGAAAUGCAUUAUGACAAAUACAUCUGAUUCAGGUGUACUGUCUUUUAUUUGCCACAAAUAAAUCACAUCCUGGAAACCUG